GAUGAACGCUGGCGGCGUGCCUAAUACAUGCCAGUCGAGCGAACAGACGAGGAGCUUGCUCCUCUGACGUUAGCGGCGGACGGGUGAGUAACACGUGGAUAACCUACCUAUAAGACUGGGAUAACUUCGGGAAACCGGAGCUAAUACCGGAUAAUAUAUUGAACCGCAUGGUUCAAUAGUGAAAGACGGUUUUGCUGUCACUUAUAGCUGGAUCCGCGCCGCAUUAGCUAGUUGGUAAGGUAACGGCUUACCAAGGCAACGAUGCGUAGCCGACCUGAGAGGGUGAUCGGCCACACUGGAACUGAGACACGGUCCAGACGCCUACGGGAGGCAGCAGUAGGGAAUCUGCCGCAAUGGGCGAAAGCCUGACGGAGCAACGCCGCGUGAGUGAUGAAGGUCUUCGGAUCGUAAAACUCUGUUAUUAGGGAAGAACAAAUGUGUAAGUAACUAUGCACGUCUUGACGGUACCUAAUCAGAAAGCCACGGCUAACUACGUG
rnacentral:rRNA from 1 species